rnacentral:lncRNA from 1 species
GCACAGCAAGCAGGUGCUGGUACAGAGGAAGGAAGUACUUACUGAGCAGCGUCCUCCUUGUGAGUUGUGCCCGCAUGCUGGGUGCCCGUGCUGUGGCCCGCGCCUACCGGGGGUAACACCUCCCUGCUGGGAGCCCUGCGGGCUGCCAGCCACUUUAUGCCCGCCGGGGCGAUUGGCCAACACCUCGUGAGCGGCCAAUGGGCGAUGGGUGCUGUGGCAUGCCCGCUCCUCCUCCUGUUUUCUUCGAAUUCGUUCUUCGAGGUCAGCCCCACGCCCAAGGAUGAUGCAAACUACAGCCUCAGCCUUCUUGGGGAGAGUGGGAAGCAAGAGGGUCCCUGCCAUCUUCAGGAGCCUGGGCCCAGGGUAAGAGGGAGAGGCUGCAAGCCAGACCUGCAGAGGCCCGGGUCCCUCUUCCCAGGAGGCACCAGCCCUGCAGGACACUGAGGUCUGGGGCUGAGGGGAGCAAGACAUCUUCCCUGUUGAGUGCCCUUCCCGCCCUCUCGCUGGGGCUGUUGGGACAUCUGUGAGCGGAAACCACUGGGCUCUGGGCACAGAGCCAGACCCAGGCUGGCAGCCCCGAGAUUGUGGUUCCAGCCCCAGGACUAGCAUCCCCCAGCCCAGCACUCCCUGUCUUCAAUCCCUCAGCAGGCACCUGCUACCAGCCUCACAUCCUAGGUCUCCCACCCACAGGCAGACCCUUCUCUGCAGACAGAGUCCUUUAGGGGAAACUGGACACUUGGAGCAAGAGAAAAAGGACAUCAGGUUUCAAGCUUUCUGAGCUGCUAUGUGGCCUGACAUAAGUCACUUAACCUGUCUGGGUCCCAGAAACCCAACCUGAGGAAGUCAAAAGCAAAUUUCCCAGCCCACCUCACAGGGCUGCUGCCAUCAUGGACAUAAAAGGCAAAAUCUUUUGAAGGAAAAAGACGAAACUCUAAUUCCAAGUACUAGCUAUUGGGGGGGGCGGGCAGGAUGGGGGAGUGGAGGAGAUGGGGAAGCUGUGAGCUCAGAGGGGAAGCCGGGGAGGGGUAGUGGAGCUGCCGYGGUGACAGUUGGAGACCAGGUUUCACUUUCUCUGAAAGAUAGCGAUCAUGGGUUGGUCCUCU